CAAUUUGUCAGAGAACAAAUCUUGCAUUAUUUUAAUAGAAGAUGCAUCAUCACUAUCAGGCUUGUGAUAAUAUCCUUGAUUAUGGUGUAGUUGUCACAGUAAUAAAUGGCAGCUUGAAGUCAUGUUCCCCACCUGGUGGUGAUUGGUUGUGGAGGAAAUGUUAUAGAUGGAGCUUUGGUUUUGAAUACUUCAACCCUCAGUGGCACUUUUAUGAAAAUCUUUUUCAUGUUGGAUAUCAGCUUGUCCACAUCAAAAUAAUUCUGCCACAUUUCCUCUGCUACCCUGUGCAUUGUGUGAACAAUACAUGUAAUAUGUUUCAUGUUUUGAGUAGAACAUUUUAAGUCCCUUAGCAGUUUUCACCGUGUAAGGUGUGGCAU
rnacentral:lncRNA from 1 species